rnacentral:snoRNA from 1 species
AGUCCGUGAUGAUGAGUAAAAGGUCUGAUUGCAUUGUUUCUGCUUAUACCUGACCUGCUCCCGGCAAUGCUGCUCUUCUCCCAAUCACAAUCGAGAUGUGCUGUGGUUGUUUAGCAAGCCUGCUGACAUAAUAGGGUUAUCUCUCACAGCUGCUUCACCUUGAGACUAGUGUUUGCGGCUGUGGUGAGCAUCCAACAUAACCAUUUCAAAUGGAGCCAAAGGUUUAAUGGACGCAGUGUAUGAAAAAACUCCAAGCUGAGACU